UGUAUGGUGUGUGUGUGUUUGGAAGAGGAGUAAAGAAGAGUGCAAUGUGGCACUUGGGGAAAGGACAGAGAUGCUGCAGGGAGAUAUUUGCUGAUAUUUUUGCUUUGAGGGCUGCAGUGUAACCCUCUCCUAUCUUCUACUUUCAAGAAAAUAAAGUUUUCAGAGAGGCUUCACGGUUGACCAAGGGUCUGUGUGAGCUGGAAGUGCAGCCUGGGGCUGUGCCAUGGCAGAGUGACACCGGAGGAGCAGGGGAGGUUUGAACAUAAGGGUUUUACAGCACCAAGAAACCUUAGCUCCAUUAUCUUACACUUGGAGGUCUCUCACGGAUAAAUCAGCUGCUUUUCAAAAUAGAAGAGACUUAUGAAAAUGUAUCACUUGGCAGACAUAGAAAGCAGCUGCUUAUCAUCAUUAAUUUUCAAUAAAUAUGUAUUAAGCAACAGGAUAUAGAUCACUCUGUGAGGUUCAGGACCUUGGGAAAAUACAGUAUCCUAGAGACAGCAUUAACACAAGGCACGACUCAAGGCCGCUCCUGUCAUCUACACCCCUCCCGCUCUGCACGGCUGACUCAGAGCCUCCUGGCCUGCGGAGGAGCAAGAGGCACUGCACAGGCCACAGCGGGUUGUGAUCCAGGAGAGGCCAUUGGUUGGGGCGGGGGGAUGUUAAUUCCUCUGAGGUUGUGGGCAGGGGAGAUUUUCUUGGAGGACAUUCAUUUCCCAGUGGGGAGGGAAGAUUGAGACUAUAAUGUCUCUAGGGAAAUUUAAUAAUUAAGGAAGGUCCACAUGAUGGAACUGUGGGCCAUUUUCUAUUUCAGGCCUUAUGGUUAUUUUGCCUUUACCAUAGGGCGGUGCUUAUCACCAGCAAGACUGACCAACAAACCAGCUGUGGAGGGAAAUUGAGAGUGGGCUCCCUGCUGAAGACAGUAGACAUGGCCAUCAAUUAAUGUCCUGUUUUCUCCCGUGCAGAGCCUCUCAGGGCCAAAGCUGGAUUGUACCGGGCUGGGAAAACAAAAAAUAAAUACAUGGGGAGAGAAUGUUGAGGGGUGACUUGCUAACCAGUCAGUUGAAUUCCAGGCACAGAUUGAGUUGCUUCUGGAGUGGGCAGGGUCACUGUGAACGCCUACGUGAGCCUCUUCUGCACCACACAGCAGAAACUUAUUGAAAUUGGCAUCUUUGGGAGCUCGCUGUCAUCUCUUCACAAAACAUCCCCACGGAAAGCCAAACUUUCCCUUAGCAAGCGUGGCAACGUCCCAGAGUGCAGCCUGGAUCCCGUCAAGGAUAUCACAUGAUACUUCCUUGUCAUGUUUCCUUAGGCUCAUCUUGACUGUCCAUUUCUCAGACCUUCCUUGAUUUUGGUGACCUUGACAAUGUUGAGGAACAGUGGUCAGAAGUCACCAUGUGCAGCCUACAUUUAAUGAGUGGAGAGUUAUGCCCCGCCUCCUGGAGGAUGAACUAUCUACAUAAAUUAUUUGAAAUUCUUUUGCAUGGAAUAUUUUCUUAAUGUUAUUGUGAAAAUAAUUUUGACCUUGCAGAACCAUGAAAGGCUGUUCGGGAAAACCCCCAGAAGUCUGUAGACCAUACUUAGAGAAACACCAUUCCAUGCAAUGGAGGCAGGGGUGGAUGUGUCUGGAACCUGGGCACUAUACUUGCGUGUACCUUGAUGCUUCCAGGAUUCCCUAGAAAUCACUGUGGAAGGAUUAUUGCAGCCACUAUUGCUUGACAAGGGCUCAGACCCCUCAGGGUUACAAGUUUAAGUCCCUCAACCAGGCAAGCAACCCAGACCCAGCAAAGUGUGUUUGAAAGGUAGGAAAAUGUAAAUUGAGGAAAAGAAAAAGGAGAUAUGAAUAUCAGUUCGGUCUUACUCAUCUGCAGUUUCAGUCACCAUACAUUAUACCAGUAACCCUCUUGGGUUAAGUCAACAGAGAUUGGGUAUGGCCAGCAUAUUUGAGUGCACUAUGUCUCAGAUUGCACUAGUUCUCCCCCUCUCCAAGGAGGAGUGAGGGCAUAUUGUUCUCAUAAUCAAUGAGAUAACAUUUUUAGAACUGGAACCAGAUAUAAUAUAGGGCAUCAGAUGAUAUGAGUGAUCUAGAUGGUGGACGCUCAGACACCACUUACACACCCAUCUCCAAUUCCAGAAACCAAGUGAUGGCAGCUUUGUGUGGGGCUAAUCAGCUUCAUCCAAGUGCAGUCUUCAUCUGAGUGCACCCUGACAGUGCCUUGUUCAGAUCUGCUCACACGUCUCUUGGCUACCAGCCUGUGACUUCUGAUAAUGCCAGGGCAUGGGAUGCCACAGGAACCCCUUGGUGCCCACAUAUACAUGACUCAGUUGUGCAGGAUAGUUAAUGCUCCACUUGAAAGCUCUUUAAACAAUGGGAGAAAGGAACCAAUAAAUAAACGUUUCCUACCCCACGCCACAGCACUGACUCUGAGUCACAUUUUCUGUGGUUUCUCGGAAGACAUCGUGGUGUUAAACACACAAUCUCCCAUCUCAGCGGCCAGUGUAGCUUGCAUUGACUCACUCUUCUUUGCUGAAAUGCUUUCCCUGUUCCUUAGCUUUGCUCUUGGGAUCAUAAUUCCCAAUGAAAGCUUUGAUCAACAGUGUUUCUCUCAGGUUUUCUUUUCGAAAGAACUUAGGCUAAGACAGAUCAAUACAGUGUUGUAACCAGCUAGUAUGCAUUCCUUCCAAAGAUUUAUUAAGUCCUCCUGUGUGCAAAGCAUCAUGGUAGGCUUGGAGACAACUGGGAAAAUAAUCAAAUAAAUCAUUACAAGUAUAAAUGCUGUGAAGGAGAAGCACAGAGUGCUUUCAGAUUGUAAUAUCCUAAUCUAGGGAACUAAAAAGGGGCUUCUCCACUGAGACCUGAAGGAUGAAUAGGACCACUCCUGGGAAGAGGCAGGAGAAAAGGAGGGAGUAUGGUGGGAAGUGAGACAGCAGAUUCCAAGGGCUGGAGGCAAGUGAAGGUGGGUGUUUUUAAGAAUUCAAAGUAGCCCAGCCCUAGUGGGCUAAUGGCUAAGCGGAGAGAACAGAGAGAUUGGAGAGGAGUAUGAGGAAAAAGACUUUGGCGGAGUGAACAAGAACCCAACUGUGAAGAACCUUGAGCACUUAUCCGGUGAGCCACAGGAAACCUCUGGAGGGCUCUGAGUAGAGUAUUCCUCAAAGAUGACUUUGUCUAUGGAUGCGAGGAGUAUUAGGGGUCAGGAUCAUGCAGGAAGGCUAAUUAGAGGGCCAUUCAAGUGAUCUAAGCCAAAGAUGAAGAUGGUACCAAAUACAGUGGUGGCAGGUAAGAGGAAGAGAAGGUAAAUGAUUUGAGAGCUGCUAAAAUAGGGAUUUUUCAAUUUUUUGGAAGUUAAUAUAUGAGAUGAAUACAAUUUGUCGGAAGUUUUACAUAUCAUUUGUAUAAUUUGUGCAGAAACUUCACUUGC
rnacentral:lncRNA from 1 species